rnacentral:rRNA from 1 species
AAAUUGAAGAGUUUGAUCAUGGCUCAGAUUGAACGCUGGCGGCAGGCCUAACACAUGCAAGUCGAACGGUAACAGAAAGAAGCUUGCUUCUUUGCUGACGAGUGGCGGACGGGUGAGUAAUGU